GGAGGGAUGGAUGAGCGGUUUAAGUCGCACGCCUGGAAAGCGUGUAAGGGUUAACAGCCCUUCGGGGGUUCGAAUCCCCCUCCCUCCGCCA
rnacentral:tRNA from 2 species